rnacentral:rRNA from 1 species
GAUGAACGCUGGCGGCGUGCCUAAUACAUGCAAGUCGAGCGAACAGACGAGGAGCUUGCUCCUCUGACGUUAGCGGCGGACGGGUGAGUAACACGUGGAUAACCUACCUAUAAGACUGGGAUAACUUCGGGAAACCGGAGCUAAUACCGGAUAAUAUAUUGAACCGCAUGGUUCAAUAGUGAAAGACGGUUUUGCUGUCACUUAUAGAUGGAUCCGCGCCGCAUUAGCUAGUUGGUAAGGUAACGGCUUGCCAAGGCAACGAUGCGUAGCCGACCUGAGAGGGUGAUCGGCCACACUGGAACUGAGACACGGUCCAGACUCCUACGGGAGGCAGCAGUAGGGAAUCUCCCGCAAUGGGCGAAAGCCUGACGGAGCAACGCCGCGUGAGUGAUGAAGGUCUUCGGAUCGUAAAACUCUGUUAUUAGGGAAGAACAAAUGUGUAAGUAACUAUGCACGUCUUGACGGUACCUAAUCAGAAAGCCACGGCUAACUACGUG